rnacentral:rRNA from 1 species
CACGUAGGGCGCAAGCGUUGUCCGGAAUUAUUGGGCGUAAAGAGCUCGUAGGCGGUCUGUUGCGUCCGCUGUGAAAACUCGGGGCUUAACCCCGGGCGUGCAGUGGAUACGGGCAGGCUGGAGGCAGGCAGGGGAGAACGGAAUUCCCGGUGUAGCGGUGAAAUGCGCAGAUAUCGGGAGGAACACCGGUGGCGAAGGCGGUUCUCUGGGCCUGUACUGACGCUGAGGAGCGAAAGCGUGGGGAGCGAACAGG